rnacentral:misc_RNA from 1 species
GAUGAAGAACGCAGCGAAAUGCGAUAAGUAAUGUGAAUUGCAGAAUUCAGUGAAUCAUCGAAUCUUUGAACGCACAUUGCGCCCGCCAGUAUUCUGGCGGGCAUGCCUGUUCGAGCGUCAUUUCAACCAUCAAGCCCCCGGCUUGUGUUGGGGACCUGCGGCUGCCGCAGGCCCUGAAAAGCAGUGGCGGGCUCGCUGUCACACCGAGCGUAGUAGCAUACAUCUCGCUCUGGGCGUGCUGCGGGCUCCGGCCGUUAAACCACCUUCAUAACCCAAGGUUGACCUCGGAUCAGGUAGGAAGACCCGCUGAACUUAAGCAUAUCAAUAAGCGGAGGA